rnacentral:rRNA from 1 species
UACGGAGGAUGCGAGCGUUAUCCGGAUUUACUGGGUGUAAAGGGAGCGUAGACGGCGAGGUAAGCCUGAAGUGGAAGCCCGCGGCCCAACCGCGGAACUGCUUUGGGAACUGUUUUGCUGGAGUAUGGGAGGGGUAAGCGGAAUUCCUGGUGUAGCGGUGAAAUGCGUAGAUAUCAGGAGGAACACCGGCGGCGAAGGCGGCUUACUGGACGGCAACUGACGUUGAGGCCCGAAAGCGUGGGGAGCGAACAGG